rnacentral:lncRNA from 1 species
GCCGCGGCCUCGCGCCGUGGGACGGCGUCGCUCCCCGCCGGCUGCCGUUAGGGCUGGGAGCCGGCUGGGCGCGGGGGUAGUGAGGGUGCCUCUCGCCGUGGCUGCGCGGCGGCCUCGUCCGAGAGGCCGGCGCCGGGGCAGUGACCGGCCCGUGCCCAGCCGCCGCGCAGGGCGCCCGGGGCAGCUGGCCGAGCCCUCGAUGCCUCCCGUCUGACGGAGGCGCCCGGGAAGCGCCGCCCACCUCGGCCCCGCACCCUCGCCGGCCUGCCGGGUCUCCGCCAGCCCUAGCAGACAGAGAGGGGCGCCGGUCCCUAGUCCCCCAGACCUCCAUUCAAGGUCAAAACUUUGCCCAGCUCAGCCUUGCUCGACCCUGGGCAGGGAAGCGCGGACAUCGGCAGAGGGAGCCCGAGGCUCUCCGUGCCCUUCGCGCCGGUCAAGAACUGUGGAAUCUUUCAGAUGAUAUUCUGAUACUUCUGGACCAAGAUUGAAUUUGUUCUUCAUGAAAAAUGUCUGGGACCUUUUAUAUGGACGGGGAAUACCAACGUAGAGAUGGUCAAGAAAAUUUGCGCUCCGACCUAAACCAAGCACGUUGUAUGGUAGUUGGAGAGCUAAAUGUGGGAGGAGCCAAGAUGGCCGAAUAGGAAAAGCUCCGGUCUACAGCUCCCAGCGUGAGCAACGCAGAAGACGGGUGAUUUCUGCAUUUCCAUCUGAGGUACCGGGUUCAUCUCACUAGGGAGUGCCAGACGGUGGGUGCAGGGUGUACUCCAUCUACUUUUAAAAACAAAAAGUUCACUGUAAAACAGCCUCAGGUAGGCCGUUCAGUAGGUAUUCCAGAAGAAGGUAUUGUCAUCAUAGGAGAUGGACAGCUCCAAGGGUGUUUAUUGCCCCUGAAGACUUUCUAGUGGAACAAGAUGUGGAGGUGGAAGACACUGAUGUUGGUGAUCCUGACUCAGUGCAGGCCUAAGCUAAUGUGGGUGUUUGUGUCUUAGUUUUUAACUAAAGGUUUAAAAAGUAAAAAUAAAACAUUAAAAAAAAUUUUUGUACACCUGAACAAUGUCUUUGUGUUUUAAGCUAAGUUAUUACAAAAGGGUCAAAAA